rnacentral:lncRNA from 1 species
AUUUCCAUCAUACCUUCAUAUAACUCUUCAUCUUCUCUUCUCAACAAAUAGUUCAUCUUCCUGAUAUAUCAAGUUUGUUUAGUCUUCUGUUGUUUCAAUUUUAGGUAAGUUCUUCAUCAAUUUUUUGAUCGUUCUCUCAUAUAUGUAUUUUUUUUCUUUCUUAUUCAUACAACUAUCUGUUAGGAACUAUGAUUUAAAUGAAGUUGGAUUAGCACGUUAAAUUUUUUAUAUAUUAAAAUUAAAAAAUUGAAAGAAAGGGUAUUUUUACACCAGAAGGUGAUGAAGGUAUUUAAUAUCUUUUUCUAUAAUUUAGGAAUAUAUUUAACCCUUUUCCGGUAUUGUAAUAAUAAUAAUAAUAAUAAUAAUAAUGAUAAUAAUAAUAAUAAUAAUAAUGUCAUCGUAAUUUAUUUCUUGAAAAUCUUGUGAUACUACUUAAAUUUUUAUUCAUAUGACUAAUUUUUUGUACCUAAUAAUAGGACUAUUGUUUAAUCAAAUCUUAGUAUCAAGUAUUGUCAUUAUUUUUAUAAUUACAUUAAUUAAUAACCAACUUGUUUUGUAUGAUUAUAUCUUAAGGAUUUACUUAAAUUUAUUUGCUUAAGAAAUUUAGUACUAGUUAUCUUUGUUAUUUCUAAUUUAUUCUUUUUAUUUAGUUUUCAUCGUGUCAAAUUUAUCAAAGUUUGAAUCUGUGAGAUUUGAUAUUAUCGAAAAUAACUACUUGUCAUGGGUUCUUAAUGCUGAAAUUCACCUUGACGCUAAAGGUUUUAGAGAUGGGUUCUUAAUGCUAAAAUUCACCUUGACGCUUAAGGUGUUAGAGAUACUACUAAACAAUGAAAUAAAACAUCAAGUCAAGAUAAAGCGAAAGCCAUUAUUUUUCUUCGUCAUCAUCUCCAUAAAGAACUAAAACUAAAUAUUAAUUGUGAAAGAUCCGGUAGAAUUAGAAUUAAUUUAAAGGAUCGACAUGACCACCUAAAGCCUACAUUAUUAUCGAAAGCUUGAUAUGAGUGAAUACACUUUCGAUUUCAAGAUCUUAAAAUUGAGACUGAGCGUAAUUGUAUUAUUCAUAAAGUAAGUUGCAUAUUGAAUUACAGUAAAACAUGUAUAAUUAAUACUCGAUAAAUUAAUAAUCUCUCUAAAAUAAUAUUUUUCUCUGGUCUCAACUUGGGUCAAUGAAAAAAAUCAUCAACUUCGAUAAGAUAAUAAAAUAAUAUAUUUUGAGAAGACCCCUAUAUAAAUAUAUGGUCCCAUUAAUAUCUUAAAUUAAUAAUUCUUUAAAAGUGCUAGUAAUUAAGAUUAUUUAGUGAAAUAUGAUUCUAUUGUGUUCUGAUUUCUUAAAAUUUAAAUCUAGUUGAAGCUCAUCUAUAAUUUUUCUUAUUGCAUCCAAGAGCAUCAGUGUUGUCCUUUUGAACUGCAUCAUGAAAUUGUAAAGAGUCCUAGAUGUGAUAAGUGUUUUCUUACGUAUAACUGGUUACAAAGAUAUAAUAUCAUCUCCAAUUUCAUCAUCAACAUUAUUUUUUCAGAUGGUAUUCACAAUUUCUUCUAAACUCUUGAUCUCUGAACAUGUAUCAUUUUCACUCGGAUAAUGCAAUAAUUUUAAAUUCUCAGGGAUUGCAUUCUGAAUGAAGUUUUACUAUGUCAAAAAUAAUUUGCAAUUGUCUUGUUGAACAUUUGUUGUUCAAAUAGAGAUUGUAAAAUUGGUAGCAUCCUAAACAUUGAUAUUUGAUGAAUCAGUUUGUCCCAUUUCUAGCCUUCUAAUAUCCUACUAUAAAAUUUGUUUGAUGAACCAUCUUGAAAGCUUUUAUCAACACAACAUCACAAGGUUGAAAUUAAUAAGAUGUAAUGACUUUGAUAUAUUCGUUGUAUUUUAUGUAUAAUAUUUUUAUGUUAAAAUUAAUAAAUAUGAUAUAUAAAUUAGUAAGAUGAAAUGAUUUUGUAAUAAUUAAAAUUAACCUUUAUCAAAUCUCAAAUCAUUCUAUAAGUUAAUAAAUAUUAAUUCAUCAAUUAAAUAAUAUCUCUAUAAAAUAAUAAAUAUCAUGAUCCCACCUAUAUUAAUUUAUAGAGGUUUUUAGUGUAUGUGGAGAUACUACACUGAUCACCUUAAUAGAGGACAAGAUUACAAAAAACAAUUUUUAUUUUCUUUCAUGUUUGCAACUAUGUAGUUCUUCUUUCCUAAAUCACUAUGUCUUGCUAAUUUCUUUGUUUUUAGUGUAGCCUCUUAAAAUUUCUUAUAUUUCUAGCUUCUCAUAUUAUUAUAGUAUAUUUUUUAUUGUUACAAAGAAUAUGAAUAGUCUCAUAUCAUCAAUUGGAUCCAAAAUAAAUUAUGACAAUACAUACUUCAUAGAUAGUUCCACAACAUACACUAUAUAUUUUAAAAUAUAAGAAAUAUUUUUUUUCUUUAAUUGUGAAGGAAGCUAAUGCUAAUAUAAUAUUGGUAAUACAAAUUAAAUGAAAGCACCAUAAAGGCUAACUCAAUACUUACCGUAGGAACAAAAUUGAUAGUUGGUGAAGUUUAUAUUACAACAAGUCUCUAAAGUUUAUUAAGUUUUAAAGACAUUCAUCAAAUGAUUAUCAUUCCACAACACACACUAUUUUAAAAUAUAAGAACUAUUUUUCUUCUGUAAUUAUGAAGGAAGCUAAUGUUAAUACAAUAUCUGAUAGUACAAAAUUAAAUAAAAGCUCCAGAAAGGUUAACUCAAUACUUAUCGGAGGAAUAAAAUUGAUUAUUGGUGAAGCCUUAUAUUAUAGUAAGUCUCUAAAAAUUUUAUCAAGUUUCAAAGAUUUUUUCUUCAGGUUUGAACGUUGUUAAAAGUCUUAUUCCUGACCCUGAAAAAUCUUUUAUUAAAAUUUUUGAGAGAUUUUACCCCUUUAUUUGAAAAACAAAGUUGUAUAAUAAAUUUUCCAUCUAGAAAAUGUAUUAUUUUUAUGAAAAAUAUACUGAGUAGCGUUGCAAUUAUCAUUUAAAUGUCUCAUUAAUUCCUAGAAUAUUCUUUUCAAAAAUUUUGGAGAUUUUUCCCCUUUAUUUGCAAAUUGAUAAUAUAAAUAAUUUUUUUAAUGGAAAAUCUAUGGUUGCGUAGCAGUCGUUGUUUAAAUUAUUUAUUUAUUAAAAGAGGGUAACUCCUAAUACUAAAUAAUUCUAGGAGGAGGAGAAAGUUUAUAACCUUUAUUGUAAUAUUUUCUUGAUGUGAAAGUGAAUUUAUUUCAAAGAUAUUUUUAUCAUUUAUGAAAUUAUUUUCAUAUUUUGACAUAGUAUUUAGGUAGGAUUCUUUCCUAGCACUCUGGUAUGGAUAUCAUCUAAUUGAAAUGUAUAAGGUUUUAUUUGAGUGAUGAAAGGAAUACCUAAUAUAAUUUCUUCAUUUAUGUCUUUGAUUAUCAUGAAAUUAUUUAUGAAACUAAUUUCAUUAUUGCAUAUGUAAGAGUUUCUGAGUUUAUAAUUUAUUUUAACCUUUUCCCCUGUUGCGGAGAAUAAUUGGAUAGUGUCUUUACCAAGCCACCUUGUAAUCAUAUCAAUUAUACAUCUAGGGACGAUAAGAAGAUGAUAAUGGUAUGGGGGUGUGUAGAUGAUCCACAAACCACUCAAAAGGACUUAAUAGUCUUUUAAUUGUGAAUCUUGAAAAUUGAAUACUAUUUGGAUCAUUGUUAUCUGCUAAUUUAUGUUCAAUCUUCACUAACUCAGUAUCUGUUACAAUACACUCAUAAGAACUAGAAGAUAAUAUUUUAAAUAAAUUAUACCCAAUUCUUGAUAAAAAAUCACACUAGUUCCAAAAGGAAUUCUAGAAGAGAUGACCAACUUAAUAUGAAAGAUAGUUCUGAAAAUAAUAAUUCAUGUAAGGGUGUAUUUUACUCCUACCAAAAUCACUCCAUCAAUGUCAUUAACAGCAAUAAUAAAGAAGUUUUCUUUGAUAAAUUAAACAUAUCGAAGAUCUAGACUAUUAAAAAAAUAUUUAAGAGCAUAUUAUCAUCUUUGAAAAAAAGAUGUUAUUAUGGUUAUGAUUUGCUUCCAUGAAUAUGGUAACUCAUUAUUACUUAUCGUAUUAGCCCUAGAGGCUAAGAUAGUUUUAAUUUAAUCUAUGAUAUACCUUAUAUAUUAUGGCUAUUUCUCUAGUAUUAGCUUUACUAUUCAUAUUUUUAGUUUUAACAUUUAAUCUUAAUGUAUCAAUUACGUUUUAAUCAUUAAUAUCUAUUGAAUAAUUAGGAUAACAAUUAAAGUAUACUGGGUCAUUCACAAGGUUACUUAGUAGUACUGCUAAUAAUGAAUCAUCAAAAUUUAAUAACCUAUAUCUCUUAAAAGAAGACAUAUGGGUACAUAUAAACCUAAUCUAUAUAAUGGUUUGACUGCUACCUAAACAAGUCCUAUGUGAAGAAAUUUAUAAUUUCUCUUAUAUCUAUUAAUAUCGUUAGUUACUAAUAAUUUAAUAGUCUCAAUAUUUUUAUCUAUAGCAAUGGUAGACUCAAAAGUCUUAAUAUUAUAAUUUUUAAUAAAAUCAAAGUGUCCUGUUUUAUAAACCUUUUUAAAGUGUUCUUUUGAAAUAUCUAAUUUUGUAGAUCAUUUUCAAUUUUUGCAAUUUUAUUAGAGGUGGCAGAUAUGUUCAUACUAUUUAAAAUAUUUUGAUGUGUAGGUGAAUUCAAUUCAAAUUAAGGAAACUCUAGUGGGGAGAAGAACGUCAUCCUUGGGCUUAAAUGUCUACUUUAAGGAUUACUACCAGAAACUAAAUUCUUUGUGUAGUAAUUGUUGUUACCUUUUUUUGCUGACCUUCUUUGAUUUUAUUCCGGAUUCGGCUUGGCGACAGAAACACUCUUGGAUUUGGCUCUAUGACACACACAAUCUAAGCUAAUUCAACGGAAAAGUAUGACCUUGCCGAUGUCUAAAUCGGAAAUUAUCCGGUUACCCCACUUCAAGGAAUAAAAAUAAGAACAUAAUCGAAGAAGAACAACUAUCAAAUUCCGAACUUAUCACCCCAACCGUAACCUAAGUUUCGAAGCUGUCCGCCCAAGGACAGCGUAGGAACUUAGUCGCUCCUACUCAUACCCUUCCCAGCCAACUUGACUCUAAUACCAAUGGAGGGGACGAACCGAGUUCCAGGACAUAAUCCUAUGUAAAUACUAUGUCAAAAGAUGAGAGUAACAUCGUUACAUAGUAUCUUAUCUAAUUCUAAAAGCUAAUAAUAAAUCAGAUAUUAAGCAUAAACCAAGCUCUUUCUAUAAGGGUAAAAAUAAAUAUUUAAAAACUCACCCAAUAUUUAAAUUACCUAAACUUUCCAAAGAUAAAUUUCCUAACUUUCAAGAGAAACUUGAAAUUACUGAUGAACUUAUAGGAAUAAUUGAUGAGAAGCUAAAAUCCAAGGCCAUAAAUACAUUGUCCAAAAAUAAUGAUAAUCAAAUUAAUAAAUUAGGUUCUAAUUAUUCUAUGAAAAAAUAUUAUUACAAGAGAUCUUCCUUUUCAGAUAUGUAGUAUGGAGAAAACGAAUUUCUAUCUCAUACUUCACACUUUGAAAGCGAGAUUGUGGAAUGAAAUAUUGUUGGACUCGUAUAACAUCAAACAUAUAAUAAAUUACAUGAAAUAGAUAUGGCCAUUACGACAUAUAAAAUAAAAAACUUAUCUGAUAAACAAGCUACUACUUUAAUUAUUGCCAAAUUUAUUAGCACAUUAAAAAGAUGGUGGAACAACUAUCUCACCAAAGAUAAUAGGGAAAAGGUAGUAAAUGCAACUAUUAUUAUCCCUAUAAUUAAAACUGAGCUUGGAGGAUAAACUAUAGAAAGUCAAAUUUUAGAAUACGUCAUUGUCAGCUUAAUUUAUAAUAUAGUCAAACACUUUAUAGGUGAACCUCAAUUCUUUCAAGAUAGAAGUUUAGACAUAUUAUCUAAUCUGUCUUGUCCAAAAUUAUAUGAUUUUAGGUGGUAUAAAGAUGUCUUCAUAAACAAAGUUAUGAUUCGCAGAGACUGCAAUCAUAAGUAUUGGAAAAAAAAAUCUAUUAGUGGUUUACUAACACUGUUUGCUGAAAAGGCUAGGACAAAAUUAAAAGAUAGGUUUCAAGGAAAAUUUUCUUAUAAUCAAUUAACCUGUGGUGAUCUCAUAAGUUUUAUAAAUAUUACUAGAUUAGAAUUUUGUACAAAUAUGAAACUUAAAAAUCAACUAAAAGAAAUAGUAAAAUAUCACAAAAAGAAACUAGGAAGUUUUUGUGAAGACUUUGGUUAUAUUAAACUAUCUGCCCCAUCAAAAGAGGCUUCUAAAAGAAUUAAAAAAAGAGCAACUUACAAAAAUAACUAUAUUUAUAGGGUUAAUGAAUAUCAAUACCUAUAAGUAUGUUAUUUACAAUAAAUGACUAUAAUUUAUGUAACUUUUAUGCCGUAUUUUUAUAUAGUUUAUUUAUUUAUUUAUACAUUAAUACAUCUUUAAGUACAACAAACUAAAAAGGAGUUGACUCUAAAUAUAACCCACUAUUCUUACAUUACGUCCAUACAAUGAGCAACUUCCCAUAAUUAACUUUAUAACUAAAAAAUACUAAUAUAAAGACAUAUCAAAUCAUAUUCUUUAUUCUUUAUCAGUUCAAUAAAAAUUGUGAUACAUCAUACUCAAUUUUCUUGAUGUCUCCAUAUUUCUUAUUUUAUCGCCGUAAAGGCAUUUAUAUGCUUUUCUUUUGUUAAUUCAAGUUAUUGUUGUAAGCAAAUUGUUGAAUUUGUGAAUGAAGGUUGAGUAUUUCGAGUUUGAAUAGGUGAACAACAUGACAUUAGAUACACUAUUUGUUAAACAAAAAAUGAAUACACCAAUGUAGAAUACAAUACAUUAUUGUUAAACACAAAAAUGAAUACCUUGGAUACAACUAUACUUGUAUAUCCGAAUUAAAUUUUAUCUUGUAUAUAUUACUUAUAUAUCUAGAUAUAAUUUCUUCAUAAAUCAAUAUUUUAACUUGUGCUAAUAUAAUACUAUAAGUAUCUAUGUAUAUAAAUAUGGAUACAAUUCAACACUUUUGUUAAGGAAAAAUAUAGAUACAUUAUACAAACGGGCAAAAAAGAUACAAUUUGUGGGUAUCAAACUGUAUAAGUAUGGAUACAUUACACAAACGAGCAAAAAAAAUACAGUUUGUAAGUAUCAAACUCUAUAAAUACGAGAUGAAUUUUAUAAUUAAAAAGUACCUGAUAGAUACAAAAUCACAAAAAUCGCUCCCACGGUGAUGUAAAGUAUUUUGAAUUUGAAUGAAUUUGUUUGGGGGGGGGGGGGGUGGAGGGACAGAAAAUAUGUAAUGUAUGAAUGUUGAUGAUGGUCAACAUGGAAAAAGAUCACAUAUGUGUCUGCCAUAAAUAUUUAGGCAUUUAAUUAUGACUACUUUCCUAUUUGAUAUUUAUUUAUCAUAUUAAAUAUAUAAAAAAAAUAUUUAUUUGCAUAGAAUUAACUUUGCUAUUUAUAGUCUAAUAAUAUCCAUAUAACAUGAUAAAAAUAUGAUAUACCUAUUUAUUUUUUUGAAUACAUAUGGAUGUUUGCCAUAUUCUGAAGUUUUUCCUUAAAAGAAUCCAUAAGAAUGAUCAUAAAUCAGAAAAACCCCAUCAUUACAAAAAGAGGUUCAACCAUGGCCCUGGUAAAAAUAGUUUAAAACAAACAACACUGAAAGGUGUUGGGGCUGUGAAAAAAUGGAGCAUCGAGCUAAAGAUUGUCCUACCACUAAUAAAAAGAAAGACAAUUAUACGUUUGAAUUAGAAAAAGAAGUUAAAGAUGCUUUGUAUUCUAUCCUAGAAAAUAAUAAAAACAACUCUUCCUCCGAUGAAAUCUUAGCGAAGACAAUCAACUAAAUAUAGCCUAUGUUUUUUAUGAUAGUAAGUCGUCAGAUCCUUGUGAAUGCGCGCAAUUUGCACUGCAAGAAUCAUUCUAUAAAUGUCAUCACUAGUAGUAAUAAAGAAACAUUCUUUGAUGUGAUAGAUCAUAUUGAGUAUUCUGAUUUCAAAAAAAAAAAUACUUAAUCGUCUUAAGAGAUUUAGUUCUUGAUAAACUAUCUGAUAAUAGGUCUAUUAAACCCUUUGAUAUGACAAAUGUUUUAAAUAAAUUUAAACAACCAAUUAAACCUGAAUUAACUUUACAAAGUAUUCUGACUGAAUUAUUAUAAAUAAGAGAUGGAAUAAAUGAAAUUAAGCAGAGACUCAAUACUCUAGAAAUUCAAUCAAUUACUAAUAAAAACAUUUAAAAAUCUACCACCUAAACAAGAACCGGAAGAAUGUAAAUCAUCUGAAUCAGGAGAAACAUCGAAACAAGUAAUCUCUCAUAGAACCUCUACUGAAAUUAGGAAUUAAUACAAUUAAGGUCAUUCGAUCACAAAGCUAUCACAUACCCAUCACAUUAUUUAUAAAUAAAAAUUAUAUCAUUCAUAAGAUUGCAUUGUAUGAUACAAGCGCAUAUCAAAAUUGCAUUAUUGAAGGAUUAUUUCCUCAUAAAUAUCUAGAUAAAGACACUAUUCGAUUAUUCUUCGCAACAUGAAAAAAACUUAAAAUAAAUUAUAAACUCACGAAAGCUUACAUAUGCAAUAAUGAAAUUGGUUUCAUAAAUGAUUUCAUGAUAACCAAAGACAUAAAUGAAGAAAUUAUAUUAGAUAUUUCUUUCAUCACCCAAUAAAGCCUUAUAAUUUUCAAUUAGAUGGCAUCCAUACGAGAAUGCUAGGAAAGAAACUUUAUAAGGGAUACAAAUAUCUUUCAAAUAAAUUCGCUUUCACAUCAAGAAAAUUUUACAAUAAAGGUUAUUAAACCUUCUCCUCCUCCUAGAAUUUUUUAGCACUAGGAGUUACCCUCUUUCAAAAAAUAAUAAUCCAUAAAAAUUAUAUUGUAUUAUCAAUUUCCAAAUAAAGGGAAAAAAUCUCUCAAAAUUUUUAUAAGAUUUUUUCUAUGAAAUUAAUGAGACAAAGAAUAAAAGAAUAAUCAAAAGAUCAUUCUUAUACUUUUUCGGCUACUCACAAGAUGAAGAUUGUAUAAACAUACAGAUAAGUCGAAGGAAAAUUUGCUCCGAAUAAGAAGCAAUAAAGGUCAACAAGUGUUACAGGUUACAAGUCAACAAGUGUUACUAGUACUGUCAAAUACUACACUUAAUCAAAUAUAAAAAUUAUGAAAGUCCUGCUACACCAACAAAAAUUAUGUGGUGACAGAAGAUCCUGACAAGACCCAGAAUUUAAAUUUUUUUAGAGGAUCAAAUAUUUAACCAAGACAGUUAAAAUUCAGGUGUCAUUUGUCCGUAAUGAUAAAAUAAUUUCAAGUUCAUCACCCCGACGGGAUUAUGACAACUCCAAACUUUUGUCCUUUUAAUUGACAUAGACCCCAGUUAUAUGAUAAAAUGAGGAUACUACGGAAAGGACUCAAAGAAAAAGUAAAAAGAAGGUUUAAGAAACACUUAUUUAAACCUCAACACUAAUACGAAAUAAAAAUUUAAAUUAUUAGAUAUUGUUGUCUCACAUAAACGAGCUAAGUAAUGGAGAUGAUAAAUCUACAAGGAAUAGCACAAAAUUACCUCCUUAAUUAAAAGAAAGUGUUAACGCACUUUGGUGAUAAACAAAAGAGAUAUCAACAAAAAAAAUUAACAAGAAAUGAACCCGCUUCAAAAAGGAUCUGCCAUAUAAAGAUAAAUAGCAAGCUUCAAUGAUUAUUAUGACAAAAAAAUUCAGCAUUGAACAAAUCAAGCAUAGUUAUGAUGUCAACAAACCAACACGUGGAUACCACAAGAACAACAGUCCAAGUCACAAAGUGACAAAGGACUUGAUAUCAAGAUUUUCCACAAAAAAAUGUGCAUGCAACAAAGCUACGUGUGCAGUUAUGUAGCAUAUAUUUCCUGCCAUGAAAAAUUAUUAUCAAAUAUGUGUAAUAGUUAAUAGAUACCGUGUAAAAAUAAUAAAAUAUAUUAGUAUAUGCACACAUGUAAAAUAGAUAGCAUAAUAAGUUAAAUUAGUCAGCAUUUUUAAGGCCUAUUUAAGGAUUUCAACUUGUACCAGUAAGGGACAUUCAAAAUCUUACUAACUUUGAAAUCCUCUCUACAAUUCUCUCCAUUUUCCCCAUCAUUUCCAUUUUCUCUCUCACUUUCCCUAAUCAAUAAAAAGUAUUUUGUAAGUAUACUUUCUCUACUUUGUUUAAUUAUUAAAGUUUUGUUGUAAGAAUUUAAAGUUUGUUUACUGUUUUUAAUCUCCUCUUUGUUUAAAGUUUUCCUUUAAGUGUUUUGUUUGUUCUUACUCCUUUCGUUACUCUGUCCAAAUUUACUUAGGAUUUUGUUCUGAAACUCGAUCCGUUUAUUAACUAUUGUUAUUUCACAUGAUGAGCUUAACAACGGAGGUAUACAAGGAAUAAUACAAGUAUAACCUCUUAAUUAAAAUAAAAUGUCAGCACACUUUGAUGAGAAGCAAAAGAAUUAUCCAGAAAAUAAAUAUCAAAGAGCGGACAAUACUUUCAAAAAUAUGUUAUAAAAAUUGACGACAAGUUUCAAGACCAUUAUAAAAAAUCAUCUUUGGACAAAUCAAACACAUUUACUAUGUCAACAAUUUCACCAACACGUGAACUCCACAAGAACAAAAGUCUCAAUCACAAAGUGACAAAUGACUCGAUGUAUAAAAUUUCAGCAAUCAACACAAAAAGAUAUACAUGCAACAAAGCUACAUGUACAACCAUAUCACAUAUAUUUUCUGCCUCAAAAAAAUAUUAUCAGAUACGUAUCAUAAUUAAUAGAAACGUGUAAAAGCAAAUGGAAGGGAGCAAGAACAAGCAAACACUUAAAGGAAUAAAAAAAAUUAAAGUAAAGAGAAGAACAAAGUGCAGUAAACAAUACUUAAAUUUUAAAACAUUUAACAAAAUAAAAGUGCAAGAAAAAAUGUACUUACAAAUUUUGUUUUAUUGAUUUAAUGAAACAAAGAAUAUUGAUGGGAGAAAUGGAACUGAUGGAAAAAUGGAGAGAAUUGUAGAGAUUUUUCAAAGUCAGUAAUAUUUUGAAUGCUCCCUACUGAUACAAGGUGAAAAUCUUAAAUAGGCCUCCAAAAAUCCUCACAAAUUUAACUUUUAUGCUAUCUAUUUUACAUGUGUGCAUACACUAAGACACAUUAUUCUUUUUACACAUAACUACUACCUAUUACAAAUAAUUGAUGAUAAUUGUAUGUGGCUUGGAAUAGAUGUCACGUAGCUGGAACUACUUACACGUAGCCUUCACUGCAUGUUUAUCUUCUUUUCCUGAAAUCAUAUCUUCAAAACAUAAAUCUUGUUAUUUGAUCCUUUUGUCAAUUUGUGGCUUUAUUCUUGCGGGGUUCACUUUGUCACUUUCUGGCUUUGAACUUUAUUCCACAGUAAUGCGUGUUGGAACUGUAGAAAACUCAGAUACCAUUCUAAGGAUAAUCAAGCCUCUAAUAAAAAGAAGGAUAAGAUAAAUAGAUUAGAACUAGCUAGAAGAUAAUAUUAUAAAUAAUUAUAUCCAAUUCUUGUCCAAAGUUAUAUGAUUUUAGGUGGUAUAAAAAUGUCUUCAUAAAAAAAGAUAUGAUUCUCAAAGAUUACAAGCAGGACUAUUGGAAAGAAAAAUUUAUUAGUAAUUUACCAACACUAUUUGCUUAAAAGGUUUGAAUAACAUUGAAAGAUAGGUUUUGAAGGAAAAGUUUCUUAUAAUCAACUAAUAUAUGGUGAACUCAUAAAUUUUACAAAUAUUACUGGAAUAGAAGUACAUGCAGAUAUGAAACUUAAAAAUCAACUAAAAAAGGAUAGUAAAAUAUCACAAAAGGAACUAGAAAAUUUUUGUGAAAGAUUUAGGUUAUAUUAAACUAUCUACUCCAUCAAUAGAGGCUUCGUAGGAACUUAGUCGCUCCUACUCAUACCCUUCCCUGCCAACUUGGCUCUGAUACCAAAUAAAAAUUUUAAUUAUUAAAUAUUGAUGUCUCACAUAGACGAGCUCAACAACGGAGAUAUUAUUACAUCUACAAGGAAUAGCCCAAAAUUACCUUCUUAAUUAAAAGAAAGUGCUGACACGCUUUGGUGAUAAACAAAAGAGAAAUCAACAAAAGAAUUAACAAGGAAUAGACCCAACCUCCAAAGAUAUGUCAUACAAGUUACAAGAGAAAAAAAAAUUCAAAGAUAAAAUUCAGCAUUGGACAAAGCAAGCACAUUUACAAUCAACAAUGCCACCAACACGUGGAGCACACAAGGACAAAAGUCCAAGCCACAAAGUGAAAAAAUAAGAAUUUUCCAACAAACCAACACAAGAAAAUAUAUUUAUAACAAAGCUAUGUAUGCAUCUACGUGACAUAUAUUACCUGUCACGAAAAAAUAUAAUCACAUAUGUAUAAUAGAUAGUAGAUAUGUGUAAAAUUAAUAAUUUAUAUUAGUACACGCACACAUGUAAAAUAGAUAGCAUAAUAAUUUAGUUAGUCAGCACUUUCGAGGCCUAUUUAAGGCUUUCAACUUGUAUCAGUAGAGGAUAUUCAAAAUCUUAUUUGAAAUCCUCUCUACAAUCCUCUCCAUUUUCCUCAUUAUUUUCAUUUUCUCCCAUGUUCUCUCUCACUUUUUUCUAAUCACUAAAAAGUAUUUUAUAAGUAUACUUUCUUUACUUUGCUUUAAUUAUUAAAUUUAUGUUUUAAGAAUUUAAAGUUUGUUUACUGCUUUUGUUCUCCUCUUUGAUUAAAUCUUUCUUAAAGUUUUUUUUUGUAUUUUGCUUGUUCUUGUUUCCUUUCGUUACUCUGUCCGAAUUUACUUAAGAUUCCAUUCUGAAACUCAAUUCGUCCCCUUGGUAUCACAACAAAAUUAGCUGAGAAGGGUAUGAUAUACUAAGUUCCUAUUUUGUCUGAUUCUUAAUAAAAAUUAUUUAUUUAUUAAAUCAUUUUGAAAUUUGAUAAUAGAUAGUACUAUAACCAAUAGUACUUUUUUCAAGAUACUUAGUAGAUAAUCCUUUCAAUGAUGCAAUUUUGAUCUGCACUGGUAUCUAAUGAAACAUUUUUUUUGAAUAAAGUAAUUUUUAUUUAUAACUAAAGUAAUAGAUAUAUGAGAGCUAUGGGCUUUAACUACUACAAUUGUAUUGACUUCUGAUCUUAUCAUUUGAGUUAUCUCUAAUGGUUCUAAUAAACUUUGAUUUUGGGUGGAUAUUUCUUCAGAAUUGUCAAGUUUUUGUUUGAGCUUUUUAAUUUCUUUCUUUACAUGUAUUAAUUCUGUUUGAAGAUCUGGAAGUGUUGUUUCCAAAUUUUGUUCUCUAUUUGUCACACUAAAAGGUUUUACAAUAUGAUUAUUUGUAACGACCUGUUUAGUCGUUUUGAGCAGCAGAUUUUAUUUCUGGAAAACUGGCUGAGACAACGGACCUCACGACGGACCGUCAUGGGCACGACGGACCGUCGCAGGGUCUCGUUUCAAAACACUUAGAAAAUCUGAAAAUUGGGCACUGAAAUCGACUCUCUGAACUUCGUAACGGAAUGGCAGGACGGACCGUCACAGGUGUGACAGACCGUCACAGACUCUUCAGAAAAAUUGAGUCUCUGAAGUCUGUGACGGAGCAGCAGGACGGACCGUCGCAGGCUGCGUAAUCCCAGUCUGGGUCGGAUUUCUUUAUACGUUUUAAGGGACAUUUUUGACUAUUCCUGAUUUAAUUAUAAAGUUAGUGGGUUAAUGUUAAUAAGUCUAAUUACUUAGGGGGUUAAAAGAGGUAACCUUAAGUAAUUAGUGGGUUAUUAUUGCCAUCUUUUAUUCUUAAUUAUAUGCUAAUUAGGGUAAAAGAAAGAGGGUUUUGAAUAAAGAAAAUAGAAAGAACAAGAGAAAGAGAGAGAAAGUCGAACGAGAAAGAGGAGAAACAAAGAGAAACAAAGCUUGGGAAAUUGCUUGCUUGAUCACUAAUCUUCGGUGGAGGUAGGUUAUGGUUUUAUGCUUUCAUAGUAAACUCUUAAUAGAGAAUGAUAUGUAUUGGGUAGUAUUGUAAACCCUUCUAUGUGCUUAAUUGUAUGCAUGCAUGAAUGUGAUUAUAUGAUUGUGAUGAAAUAAGCAUGAUGAAGCUAUUGAAUCCCAAAUCUUGAUAAAAACCUAAUCUCUUGUUAAUGAUGAUGCCUUGGUAUAAAAGAAGGCUUGAUGAACUAAAGUAAUGAGAUUGAUGAUGCCUUGGUAUAAGAGAAGACUUGAUAAAUUGAUAGAAUGAGAUUAGGGGAUCGGGUGUCACGAACCGACACGUAGAUUUAGGGGAUCGGGUGUCACGAACCGACACGUAGAAUUAGGGAAUCGGAGUGUCACGUUCCGACGCAUAGUAGUAGGGGAUCGGAGUGUCACGUACCGACACAAGAGGAAUAAAGAUAAUGAAUCUUGAAAGAUGUUAAUAUACUCAAUCUAAUGAAUCUAAUUCCCAAAUGAGUAUGGUAUUGAGGCUUGGGUCCUCGUGUGUGAACUUGACGGUAAUUGUUAAUGAUAUGGUACUUGUUGUUUCUACAUGUUGAGUAUUAUAAUUGAUUUUAUGAUAUUACUUGGUAUAUACUGUUUUCUAUUUUGAGUUGGCCGAUGAUAUCUACUCAGUACCCAUGUUUUGUACUGACCCCUACUUUUAUUGUUUUCUUCUUGUUAUUUGUGGAGUGCAGCAAACGUACCGUCGUCUUCAACUCAACCGCAAUUCUAGCCAGUAUUCAUUACACCGGAUUUCAGGGUGAGCUAAUGCUUCUAGCUUGGACUGGGUCUUCCUCUUCAUGUCUUGAUGCCUUGAUGUUUCGGCAUGGACUAGCUUUUACUUGUUUUAGCUUCUCAGAAUACUCUUAGUUUAGUAAUUUGAUCAUAGAUGUUCUUGUGAUGAUGACUUCCAGAUUUUGGGGAUAAUAAUAGUUGUUGAGUUUUUUAGAAGUUAUUGAAUUGGUUUUUAUUAAUGAGUUUUAGUCUUCCGCAUUACUUCUGUUGAUAUUAUAUUGAAAUGUCGAGGUUUAGAUUGGUUGGUUCGCUCACAUAGGAUGGUAAGUGUGGGUGCCAGUCGCGGCCCGAUUUGGGUCGUGACAAACUUGGUAUCAGAGCAUUAGGUUCGUUCGUCUCAUCACACAAGAACGAGUCUAGUAGAGUCUUAAGGAACGGUAGGGGGACACCUUUACUUUUCUUUGAGAAGCUAUAAGACUAUAGGAAAAUUCCAUUCUUUCAUUCUUUCUUUCGUGCUAUUACUUGGAUCCAAUUGGUAUCUAGGUGAUACAAAUUGGUAUCUGACCAUCUUCACUCUAUUUCGCAGAUGGUUAGAACUACAGCAACGACUGCGCCAACACCAACAUCGGCAAGACAAGAAGCGUCCGAGCCAGCAACUGGGGCCGUAGCUCAAGGAAGAGUAGCGGCAAGAGGCCGUGGUAGAGGUCGUGGGAGGACGUCCUCUAGAGGAAGAGGACGAGCACCUAGCCCAUCUGAUACUAGGGCGGUGACUCCUCCACCGACUGAGGAAGUAGUAAGAGUAGGGGAGGAAGGGGAAACUGAACAAGUGCAAAAUGAGGAAUUGCCACCCCAACCUACCCCAGAGAUGAUCAAUUAGGUUCUCGCUUAUCUUAGUGGGUUGUCUGAUCAGGGUCAGGCCCCUCGAGUGUUUUCUGCACCAACACCUCUGGUUUCAGAGGUACAACAUGCAGCCACUAUGGCUCCUCGUAUGGAUGCCUCAUUGGACAUAGGCACGUUUCCACGUCUGACUACUGGGCCUAUAAUGACAAAUGAUCAGUAUGAACUUUUCAGUAAGUUCUUGAAAUUGAAACCCCCAGUCUUCAAGGGUGCUGAAUCUGAGGAUGCUUACGAUUUUUUGGUUGACUGUCAUGAGCUACUACACAAGAUGGGUAUAGUAGAACGGUUUGGUGUUGAGUUCGUGACUUAUCAGUUUCAAGGGAACGCUAAAAUGUGGUGGCGGUCACAUGUUGAGUGUCAACCAACAGAGGCACCACCUAUGACUUGUACAUCAUUCUCUAGCUUGUUUAUGGAGAAGUAUAUUCCACGGACUUUGAGGUAUAGGAAAAGAGAUGAAUUCUUGAGCCUAGAGCAAGGUAGGAUGUCGGUUACUGCAUAUGAGGCUAAGUUUUGUGCACUUUCCAGAUAUGCCACUCAGCUUUGUUUUAGUCCACAAGAGCGGAUUCGCCGUUUUGUGAAGGGGUUGAGGUCAGAAUUGUGGAUUUCAGCCUUACAGGUAGCGGCUACAGCGAAAUCUUUUCAAGAAGUGGUAGACUUCGUGAUAGAGGUGGAAGGAGUGAAGCCAGAUGACUUCACCAUGGCAUCGACAUCAAAAAGGUUUCGAAAGGGAGGUGAGUUUAAUGGCUCUUACUCUAGAGGACAAGGUUCAGGAGGUCACUCAGUCCGACCAAUUCAGUCUUCACUACAGACUGUAGUUGGGGGUCCACCUCAGACCGGUCAACACUUCUCUGAGAGACCCAUGCUUGAAUCCAGAGAGUGUUAUGGAUGUGGAGAGACUGGAAAUAUUAGGAGGAAUUGUCCCAAACAGAGUUAUAGACCCCCAAUAGCUAGAGGUAGAAGUGGUCAUGGUAGAGGCCGUUAUUCUGGAAGACGUGGUGGUCGAGGUAAUAGUGGUCACCAAAACGGCCGGGGUGAUGGGCAAACUGGAGCCACUACAUCACAACAUGGUAGGGGCAACGGACAGACGAACAAUAGGGCCCAUUGUUACGCUUUCCCUGGACGGUCUGAAGCGGAGGCAUCUGAUGCUGUCAUCACAGGUAAUCUUUUGGUUUGUGAUUGCAUGGCUUCUGUAUUGUUUGAUCCCGGAUCCACAUUUUCUUAUGUAUCUUCCUCAUUUGCUAAUGGUCUUAAUUUACAUUAUGAAUUACUUGAUAUGCCUAUUCGUGUUUCUACUCCGGUGGGUGAGUCUGUGAUUGUUGAAAAGCUGUAUAGGUCUUGUCUUGUAACUUUUAUGGGGAGCAAUACUCAUGUAGACUUGGUUAUCUUAGAAAUGGUUGACUUUGAUGUAAUUCUGGGUAUGACUUGGCUUUCUCCGAAUUUUGUGAUCUUGGAUUGUAAUGCUAAGACUGUGACGUUAGCCAAACCUGGGACAGAUCCGUUAGUGUGGGAGGGUGACUACACUUCCAAUCCGGUCUGUAUCGUCUCCUUUCUUCGUGCUAAGAGAAUGGUUAGUAAGGGUUGUUUAGCUUUCUUGGCACACCUUCGGGAUGAUACUAUCCAAGUACCUUCAAUUGAGUCGGUUUCGGUAGUCCGUGAGUUUUUUGGAUGUGUUCCCUACAGAUCUUCCUGGUAUGCCACCAGAUAGGGAUAUUGACUUCUGUAUUGAUCUUGAACCGGGUACUCGCCCCAUUUCUAUACCCCCUUAUAGAAUGGCUCCCGCGGAGUUAAGAGAGUUAAAAGCCCAACUUCAAGAGUUGUUGAGCAAAGGCUUCAUUAGACCAAGUGCAUCUCCUUGGGGUGCUCCAGUUUUGUUUGUGAAGAAGAAGGAUGGGAGUUUUAGGAUGUGCAUAGACUACCGGUAGUUGAACAAGGUAACUAUUAAGAACAAGUAUCCUCUUCCUCGCAUUGAUGACUUGUUCGAUCUUUUACAAGGUGCUUGUGUCUUCUCUAAGAUGGACUUGAGAUCCGGUUAUCAUCAAUUGAAAAUACGGGCAACGGAUGUGCCAAAGACUGCUUUUAGAACCAGGUAUGGGCAUUACGAAUUUGUAGUGAUGUCUUUUGGUCUUACGAAUGCCCCUGCUGCGUUCAUGAGUUUGAUGAACGGGAUAAGCCAUAUUUGGAUCUCUUUGUGAUCGUAUUUAUUGAUGAUAUACUGAUAUAAUCUAAAAGUAAGGAGGAACAUGAGGAGCAUUUGAGAAUGGUAUUGGAAAUGUUGAGGGAGAAAAAGCUUUAUGCCAAGUUCUCUAAGUGUGAGUUUUGGCUAGAUGCAGUGUCCUUCUUGGGGCACGUGGUUUCUAAGGAUGGAGUGAUGGUGGAUCCUUCUAAGAUUGAGACAGUGAAGAAUUGGGUAAGACCUACUAAUGUGUCAGAAAUAAGGAGCUUUGUUGGGUUAGCUAGCUACUACCGCCGAUUUGUCAAGGGAUUCUCUUCUAUUGCUUCCCAACUGACGAACUUGACUAAGCAAAAUUUCCAUUUGUAUGGUCAGAUGAGUGUGAGGAAAGCUUUCAGAAGCUCAAGACUCUGUUGACUACUGCACCAAUUCUCACCUUGCCGGUGGAAGGUAAGAAUUUCAUUGUCUAUUGUGAUGCAUCCUAUUCGGGUUUGGGUGCAGUGCUAAUGCAAGAGAAGAAUGUGAUUGCUUAUGCUUCAAGACAAUUAAAAGUGCAUGAACGUAACUAUCCAACUCAUGAUUUGGAAUUGGCCGCGGUAAUGUUUGCAUUAAAGCAAUGGAGACACUAUUUAUAUGGGGUUAAGUGUGAGGUCUACACGGAUCAUCUUAGCCUUCAGUAUGUCUUUACUCAGAAAGAUUUAAACUUGAGACAGAGGAUAUGGAUGGAACUACUGAAGGACUACGACAUAACUAUUUUGUAUCAUCCGGGGAAGGCGAAUGUUGUAGCAGAUGCUUUAAGUAGAAAGGCGGGAAGCAUGGGAAGUCUAGCUCACUUGCAAACUUCUAGACGCCCAUUGGCUAGAGAAGUUCAGACUCUGGCUAACGACUUGAUGAGGUUAGAAGUAAAUGAGAAGGGAGGAUUGUUGGCCAGUGUGGAGGCGAGAUCUUCUUUUAUUGACAAGAUCAAGGGGAAACAAUUUAAUGAUGAGAAAUUGAUCCGGAACCGAGAUAAAGUGUUGCAAGGAGAGGCUAAAGAAGCAACAAUCGAUGGGGAAGGUGUUUUGAGGAUUAAGGGAAGGGUAUGUGUACCCCGCGUCGAUGAUUUGAUCAACACUAUUCUGACAGAGACUCAUAGUUCAAGGUAUUCGAUACAUCCGGGUGCAACCAAGAUGUACCGUGACCUAAAGCAACACUUUUGGUGGAGUAGAAUGAAGCGUGAUAUUGUUGACUUUAUUGCCAAAUGUACAAACUGUCAACAAGUAAAGUAUGAACACCAGAGGCCCGGAGGAACACUUCAGACAAUGCCCAUUCCUGAAUGGAAGUGGGAAAGGAUUGCGAUGGAUUUCGUGGCUGGUCUUCCAAAGACAUUAGGAAAGUUUGAUUCUAUUUGGGUAAUUGUUGAUAGGUUAACUAAGUCUGCUCACUUCAUUCCGGUUAAGGUGACUUACAAUGCAGAGAAGUUAGCCAAACUUUACAUCUCGGAAGUGGUGUGAUUGCAUGGGGUUCCACUCUCCAUUAUAUCAGAUAGAGGUACUCAGUUUACUUCUAAGUUUUAGAAAACAUUGCAUGCGGAAUUGGGUACUAGGUUGGACCUUACUACUGGUUUCCAUCCUCAGACCGAUGGUCAGUCUGAGCGAACGAUUCAAGUGUUGGAGGAUAUGCUUCGUGCAUGUGUGAUAGAAUUUGGUGGUCAGUGGGAUAGCUUCUUACCCUUAGCAGAGUUCUCCUACAAUAAUAGCUAUCACUCAAGCAUUGAUAUGGCCCCAUUUGAGGCACUAUAUGGGAGAAGAUGUAGGUCUCCCAUUGGGUGGUUUGAUGCAUUUGAAGUUAGACCUUGGGGUACUGACCUUUUGAGGGAUUCUUUAGAGAAAGUGAAAUCUAUUCAAGAAAAGCUUUUGGCGGCGCAAAGCCGGCAAAAAGAAUAUGCAGAUCGAAAGGUUAGAGACUUGGAGUUUAUUGAGGGUGAACAAGUCUUUCUGAAGGUUUCACCCAUGAAAGGGGUGAUGCGUUUUGGAAAAAGGGGUAAAUUGAGCCCAAGGUAUAUUGGUCCCUUUGAAGUACUUAAGCGAGUAGGGGAGGUGGCUUAUGAGUUAGCCUUGCCUCCAGGGCUGUCAGGAGUGCAUCCGGUAUUCCAUGUGUCUAUGUUGAAAAGAUAUCAUGGGGAUGAAAACUACAUUAUCCGUUGGGAUUCAGUCCUGCUUGACGAAAAUUUGUCUUAUGAGGAGGAGCCUGUUGCUAUUUUAGAUAGAGAAGUUCGCAAGUUGAGGUCAAGGGAUAUUGCAUCCAUCAAGGUGCAAUGGAAGAAUCGGCCGGUUGAAGAAGCAACUUUGGAGAAGGAGGCCAAUAUGCGAGAAAGAUACCCACACCUGUUUACAGAUUCAGGUACUCCUUUUCGCUCUUGUUUUCCUUCUUCUUGAUCGUUCGAGGGCGAACGAUGGGUAAAUUGGUAUCUAAUGUAACGACCUGUUUAGUCGUUUUGAGCAGCAGAUUUUAUUUCUGGAAAAACUGGCUAAGACGACGGACCCCACGAUGGACCGUCAUGGGCACGACGGACCGUCGCAGGGUCUCGUUUCAAAACACUUAGAAAAUCUGAAAAUUGGGUACUGAAAUCGACUCUCUGAACUUCGUAACGGAAUGGCAGGACGGACCGUCACAGGUGUGACGGACCGUCACAGGUGUGACGGACCAUCACAAACUCUUCAGAGAAAUUGAGUCUCUGAAGUCUGUGACGGAGCAGCAGGACGGACUGUCGCAGGCGCGACGGACCGUCGCAAGCUGCGUAAUCCCAGUCUGGGUCGGAUUUCUUUAUACGUUUUAAGGGACGUUUUUGACUAUUCCUGCUUUAAUUAUAAAGUUAGUGGGUUAAUAUUAAUAAGUCUAAUUACUUAGGGGGUUAAAAGAGGUAACCUUAAGUAAUUAGUGGGUUAUUAUUGCCAUCUUUUAUUCUUAAUUAUAUGCUAAUUAGGGUAAAAGAAAGAGGGUUUUGAAUAAAGAAAAUAGAAAGAACAAGAGAAAGAGAGAGAAAGUCGAACGAGAAAGAGGAGAAACAAAGAGAAACAAAGCUUGGGAAAUUGCUUGCUUGAUCACUAAUCUUCGGUGGAGGUAGGUUAUGGUUUUAUGCUUUCAUAGUAAACUCUUAAUAGAGAAUGAUAUGUAUUGGGUAGUAUUGUAAACCCUUCUAUGUGCUUAAUUGUAUGCAUGCAUGAAUGUGAUUAUAUGAUUGUGAUGAAAUAAGCAUGAUGAAGCUAUUGAAUCCCAAAUCUUGAUAAAAACCUAAUCUCUUGUUAAUGAUGAUGUCUUGGUAUAAAAGAAGGCUUGAUGAACUAAAGUAAUGAGAUUGAUGAUGCCUUGGUAUAAAAGAAAGCUUGAUGAACUAAAGUAAUGAGAUUGAUGAUGCCUUGGUAUAAGAGAAGACUUGAUAAAUUGAUAAAAUGAGAUUAGGGGAUCGGGUGUCACGAACCGACACGUAGAUUUAGGGGAUCGGGUGUCACGAACCGACACGUAGAUUUAGGGGAUCGGGUGUCACGAACCGACACGUAGAUUUAGGGGAUCGGGUGUCACGAAUCGACACGUAGAUUUAGGGGAUCGGGUGUCACGAACCGACACGUAGAUUUAGGAGAUCGGGUGUCACGAACCGACACAUAAAAUUAGGGGAUCAGAGUGUCACGUUCCGACACAUAGUAGUAGGGGAUCGGAAUGUCACGUACCGACACAAGAGGAAUAAAGAUAAUGAAUCUUGAAAGAUGUUAAUAUACUCAAUCUAAUGAAUCUAAUUCCCAAAUGAGUAUGGUAUUGAGGCUUGGGUCCUCGUGUGUGAACUUGACGGUAAUUGUUAAUGAUAUGGUACUUGUUGUUUCUACAUGUUGAGUAUUAUAGUUAAUUUUAUGAUAUUACUUGGUAUAUACUGUUUUCUAUUUUGAGUUGGCCGAUGAUAUCUACUCAAUACCCGUGUUUUGUACUGACCCCUACUUUUAUCGUUUUCUUCUUGUUAUUUGUGGAGUACAGCAAACGUACCGUCGUCUUCAACUCAACCGCAAUUCUAGCCAGUAUUCAUUACACCGGAUUUCAGGGUGAGCUAAUGCUUCUAGCUUGGACUGGGUCUUCCUCUUCAUGUCUUGAUGCCUUGAUGUUCCGGCGUGGACUAGCUUUUACUUGUUUUAGCUUCUCAGAAUACUCUUAGUUUAGUAAUUUGAUCAUAGAUGUUCUUGUGAUGAUGACUUCCAG